UACGUAGGGGGCAAGCGUUGUCCGGAAUUAUUGGGCGUAAAGAGCGUGUAGGCGGUCCGGUAAGUCAGCUGUGAAAGUCGGGGGCUCAACCCUCGAAUGCCGGUGGAUACUGUCGGGCUAGAGUGCGGAAGAGGCGAGUGGAAUUCCUGGUGUAGCGGUGGAAUGCGUAGAGAUCCGGAAGAACGACCGGAGGCGAAGGCGGCUUGCUGGGCUUGGUCGUGACGCUGAGGCGCGAAAGCGUGGGGAGCGAACAGG
rnacentral:rRNA from 1 species